rnacentral:rRNA from 1 species
GACGAACGCUGGCGGCGUGCCUAACACAUGCAAGUCGAACGGAAAUAUGAUUUCGGUUGUAUUUUAGUGGCGAACGGGUGAGUAACGCGUGAGCAACCUGACCUUCAGAGGGGGAUAACACUUGGAAACAGGUGCUAAUACCGCAUAAGACCACGACCUGACAUCAGGAUGAGGUCAAAGGAGCAAUCCGCUGAGGGAGGGGCUCGCGUCCCAUUAGAUAGAUGGCGGGGUAACGGCCCACCAUGUCGACGAUGGGUAGCCGAGCUGAGAGGCUGAUCGGCCACACUGGAACUGAGACACGGUCCAGACUCCUACGGGAGGCAGCAGUGGGGAAUAUUGGGCAAUGGGCGCAAGCCUGACCCAGCAACGCCGCGUGAGGGAAGAAGGCCUCGGUUGGUAACCUACUGUCCUUGGUGUACGAACGAAAUAGAC